AACGAACGCUGGCGGCAUGCCUAACACAUGCAAGUCGAACGAGACCUUCGGGUCUAGUGGCGCACGGGUGCGUAACGCGUGGGAAUCUGCCCUGGGGUGCGGAAUAACUCGGAGAAAUCCGUGCUAAUACCGCAUAAUGUCUUCGGACCAAAGAUUUAUCGCCCUGGGGAUGACGCCCGCGUAGGAUUAGCUAGUUGGGUAGGGGUAAACGCCUAACCAAGGCGACGAUCCUUAGCUGGUCUGAGAGGAUGAUCAGCCACACUGGGACUGAGACACGGCCCAGACUCCUACGGGAGGCAGCAGUGGGGAAUAUUGGACAA
rnacentral:rRNA from 1 species